UACGAAGGGGGCUAGCGUUGUUCGGAUUUACUGGGCGUAAAGCGCAACGUAGGCGGAUCGAUCAGUCAGGGGUGAAAUCCCAGAGCUCAACUCUGGAACUGCCUUUGAUACUGUCGAUCUGGAGUAUGGAAGAGGUGAGUGGAAUUCCGAGUGUAGAGGUGAAAUUCGUAGAUAUUCGGAGGAACACCAGUGGCGAAGGCGGCUCACUGGUCCAUUACUGACGCUGAGGUGCGAAAGCGUGGGGAGCAAACAGG
rnacentral:rRNA from 1 species